UUGAAAACCGUGACUACGGGUCCGUCUACUGUCACGGAAUGCGCCGUAAACUUCUUUAAACCAUCUGUUGUUUUGUCUAUACUGAUGUACAACAUGUGUACCUGGCAUUUGUGUUAUAUGCGUGCGUGUCUGGUAAUUUGUUUGGUGGAUUAUCACAGCUUGAGCAAAAAAAAUUGCCAACAAGGUGUCGACGAAUGAAGUAUUACUUCGACAAUGCCUUUCCACAGAAGGACUAUUAAAAAUUAGUGGCUCACAGAGACUGUCGGUGCGGAUGUCAACAACGACGCCAUCAAGCGUUCGUUUCGCAAGCUACUUAGAAAUAAACCAAUUAAGAUCAGGGCAGCUAUCGAUGCGAAUGACAACUAGUGAAUCAGCCAUAAUGAGCGAAUUGGGUUGCUUGCUAAACGUACCAGACGAGCGAAACGACCGCUGGCAAUCUUUCAAUCACCUAAUAAUAUGCUCUGGUCCGAGAUAAAAACUCUGCCAGCUGGUCGCGUUCUUCGGAACUAUGCGUCCGUGAGUAAGCUGAACGCCAAAGAUGCAUGGUUGCGCAACAGGGAAAAAAGCCUGUCAACCAUUUGGCGCUACAGCUUAUCUGGACUGCUCGGUAAAGAAGACAACAGAUGAUCCCGGUUUGUCAUGGAACGUGUCUUAACAGCCUGAUGGUUAACCUAUAGCCGAUAUGAAAAACGCUGAACUUAGCGAUUUAGUUGGUCACUUAACUUAGCUAUUCAAAAAAACUGUCAGAGGUUUCCUAGAUUAAGUUUUCUAGUCUUCAUGUACGUUUCUUGAAGUUCUCAGCAUUCAGGCAGUCCAAUAUGUGCUCAUUCCAAGCUCUGAAUCGUCUGAUGAUAUCGACGCUCGCUGAUUCGUCCCUGUUUUCACAGUAUCUCAUCUCUCGAACGAAUGCGGUCAAUGGCAUGUAAGACUGACAUUACGGGUCACGGCGACGCGUUUGCUGUCAUUAUCAACGACGUCAGCUUCUGUGCGUUUUAUAGAGGAAGGAUUACCGAGCACUGAUAUUCUGGGGUGUUAUUACCGGUGGCGAUGAAAACUUAGGAACACAUCUCAACUGAUAAUAGGUAACGACUGAAAUUACGAUAACCGCGGACAUCUGCCAGAUUAGAAGGAGACCGUGGCAGCGUGCUAGUAGAAAUGAGAAAUGCAUUUAACUUCGCGAUAUAGGAAUGUACGCAUGAAGAGAAACGCGAAACGGAAAAUAACACAGGAUAAAUUCUUACGAGCAACAAGCCACGAAAACUUUUAAUAACGUUGUUGAUAACACAGUAGCGUCAUAAGAAAAAAAACAAUACGCUCUGCACGACGAGAAGUUCGCGUCAGCUGGAAGACUACGAUAUUGCAGCUGGUGUUUUACGCAUAAAGAAUGUUAUGAAUAUAUAAAGGCGCGUUAUUGGCUGGAAGAAAACCACGGCGCGUCCAAUACAUCCAGAUGACCACAGAAAGCAGGCAGACUAUAAGCGAUUCUCGGCAGCGAUCCAAGUCGAUCUUGAUGGGCUUUCCGUUUUGCACGUGGUACGCAUCUUGUGCGUAUGUCCCAAUGUGACAAAAAACGCGCAAGAUAAAGCGUGAUCUUAAUGUUUUAUUCGAAAUUGAUUUUUCGAAGCAAUUCCCCGUUCGCUGUACCUCUUAUUUUUGAUUAUUCGUGUCCUAAUUUAUCCCAAUGAUUUACCUCGAAAAUGUUCUACUGUCAUGCUUCUCGAGUUCUACACAUGAAAGUCACACUAAAAAAUUGAUUUGGGUGGAAAAAUCGUAGCUUCUGUCGUUCUCAUAUAGGAUUUGCCGUGUAAAUGCAGAGAAAAAUUGUCAAGAUUGAAAUCGAAUUAUAUAUCUUACAGCUACCUCCUGGCUUUUUUUUUUAUCCAUAAUAUACGCGUCUAAAAUUGAAUACCUAUCUCUUAUCCUGAAAACUGUUUCGUAAAGUAGUUGCCUUACUUAGUUUUUAAGGAGCAACUUCUUUCUCUUAUAAUUCAGUGUUAUAUUGGAUAAGUUAUGAUUAUUUUUAGAAUUUUAAUUUUAGGACGAUUGAUAAUUUUUGAAAGGUUUUUCAUAUAAAGAUGUUCGUUUUUCUAUACUCUUUGAAAUUAAGUGCAAAAUAAAAAUGCAGUCUUUCUGAUUUUUGCCAUCGAAGGGUAACAUAAUGGUUUAUACGAAAAUUGUUGUGAAUUUAUCAGAUCUAUAUUAAGCUAAAGCUGGCAGACGGAUUAUGUGUAAUGAAAAAACGAGAGGUCUAUGGUAGCACAUCGAUAUUAUGAUAAGAACGUUACAGCGUAAAGCCGGACUAACGAUAUCCGAGUGAAGAAUUUGGCUUACGCACAACUGGGGGUGCACUACAAGGCCAGGGAUUAACUCUACGUAUAGAGUAAAAUUCGUUUAAGCUUAUAUUGACAUUUCUAAAUCCAGAACAGUUAUCUCUCAAGGUAGUAAGGCCCGUGCUCUGUGGUAGUGGCCUAAAUGCAAAGAGAAGACGGGCUCCUGUAAACGAUUCGUGGGAUAAGAUGGUAAACUCAUUGUUCCAUGGGCUCGGAUAAAUAGAAAAAUAGAUUGGCUACGUUAUAAAAAAUAAUUAUUGUCGCUCUACAGCUGCAACAGGAUAGUGGAUUCGAUGCAGCAAGAUUCCGAAAAAGUCUAGAAGUGCAGUCCGAUCUCCAUGGAAAAAGAGGUACAUACUUUUACAGUAUACUUAGGUCUGAAACCGUACCAUAGCUGAUAUUAGAUUGCGAAUUAUUAUUAAUCAAAUUAGAUAGGUAAAGUCGAUGGGGUAAUGUAGCAUUGCAAAAACACUAU